rnacentral:rRNA from 1 species
UAGGGAAUAUUGGUUAAUGGGCGAAAGCCCGAUGCAGCAACGCCGCGUGGGCGAUGAAGGCCUUCGGGUCGUAAAGCCCUUUUUGAGGGGAUGAGGAAGGACAGUACCCUCAGAAUAAGCCUCGGCUAACUACGUGCCAGCAGCCGCGGUAAAACGUAGGAGGCGAGCGUUAUCCGGAUUUACUGGGCGUAAAGCGCGUGCAGGCGGAUUGGAGAGUUGGAUGUGAAAGCUCCCGGCUUAACUGGGAGAGGUCGUUCAAUACUUCCAGGCUUGAGUGCAGUAGAGGGAAGUGGAAUUCCGGGUGUAGUGGUGAAAUGCGUAGAUAUCCGGAGGAACACCAGUGGCGAAAGCGGCUUCCUGGACUGUAACUGACGCUCAGACGCGAAAGCUAGGGUA